CCAUUACACUGCAGGCCACACAGCUAUGUUGUAGCUUAACAUUUGCCUGUAAACAUAGUCAUUCUAUAAAAACCUAAUUAUAUGCUACAUUCUGUUCUAUCUAAAGAUUGGAGCUGGGGUUGUUGAGUGUUCAAAGGGAUGUCUCUGUAACUGGGCAGGUACAUGACCUGCACCACCUCAUCUGGAAAACAUACCACUGCAGCCCCAAAUCAAUGAGGGAGCUCAAACAAUCAGGAGCUGAAACUGGAGUGACAGUGAAUGAAGCCAGUUGGGUGAAGGGGACAAGGAGGCUGCCCCAUGUGUCCCGGAGGGUGAGCAGCUUCCUAAACCAGGGAAGGACGGCAGCACCCAGAGUUCUGGGCAGUUUACUGCAGUAUAUAUGCAGAUGGAUCAGCUGGCAGGUGCCUCAGCCACUGCAGACACAGCUGGGAGAGCAAGAAAGUUCAAAGCCACCCAGGACGAUGGAACAUUUAUGGCAUUCUGCCACUUCCUGUCAGACCUUUUCUCUCCCAUCAGCCGGUUUAGCCUGCUGCUACAGACAAUGAUGUAAUCCUACCUCAGGCUAUUAGUGGCUUCAAACGUCUCCUCACUACCAUAGAAAGUAUGGAAGCCAGACACAAAAUGGUGGCAAGUUGUGUGAGAUCCUGGCAGCCAUGAAGGAGCAACAGAAACAGGCAGAAAGGGGUUAAAGUAUCAGGCAUGUGAUGUUUAUAUAAAAUCUAAUGUUUACUUCAUGUUCAUAAAAUGUAUUUCGUAGUAUUUUCAGUCUUUAUGCUUCACAUGGUGUCACCGUUUGUAAAGGGGAGGCUGAAAAGCUGGCAGAAGGUCUACAAUCAGCCAGUGUGCCCCUAGACUGCAAAGAGCCAUAGAGCUGACCUAUGAGUCUGCAGUGAAACACCUAAAGAAAAGGUUUAGCAGUCUGCUUGGUGAGUUAUUGUAAUCUAUCACUACAUUGUGAGCACUUUGACAUAUCUAUAGUAUAAUUCACAGGCCUAUGUAUUUUCACAUUUUCUGUCUUUGUCUUUUACUGAUAGAGGAGAAUAUGAAGCACACAUCAACAUCCAAGGCAGUGAGGUGUUUCAACGUGAGCCUCAUUUUUUGGCCAGAUGAUAAGCUGGAGGUCCUGAACCAUGGUAUUGGAGACGUGAAGUUUCUCUUAGAGCAUUUCUCCACCGUCCGAGACAGUCUGCAAAAGAGACUUCCCCUCACAAAAAAGAGUUAAGUCAGAUAUCAGGGCAAGUCGGCACACUGAUACUGUGGAGGACCUCAUUCCAAUCAGUGUUGAGGAUCCAGAACUGAUUGAUUAUGAUGCCAGUGAGGAUGUUAAGCUGGUUCUCCCAGGGAAAGCGGGUCAGGAGGCCCAGCUGUAAGAGCUGCCCCUCUGAGUGGAAUUACAGGGGGUUACAUCAGACAUGAGGCAUAAGAUAUGCUGAAGUCUAUUUGUAUCCAGAG